CAACCCAUAAGCUAGCUUUAAAAUAACAAAAAUAGCCCCCAUAAAUUAAGAAUAAACACUUCAUGGCCCCCCCCCCCCCAAACCAUUUUCCCCUCUAAGUAAGGGAGACUGAACAGAGACAUAACGCUAUAACAAUAGUACCGCAAGGGAAAGCUGAAAGAGAGAUUAAAAAGCUCAGUAAAGUGUCACAAAGCAGAGAUUUAUCCUCGUACCUUUUGCAUCAUGAUUUAGCCAGACCUAUCAAGCAAAGAGAGUCUUUAGUUUGAUACCCCGAACCUAGGCGAGCUACUCCCGGCCUGCCGAACCCCGGGCUAACCCCCCUCUGUGGCAAUAGAGGCGGGAAGAGCCGCGAGUAGAGGUGAUAAACCUAUCGAGCCUAGAGAUAGCUGGUUUUCUAGGAAAUGAAUAAUAGUUCAGCCUUUUAUCUUCUUGCUUUAACCACAUCUUUACUAAGACAGUCCCCUAAAAAUGAAAGAAAAUAAAAGAGUUAGUCAAUGGGGGUACAGCCCCCUUGAAAUAGAAACAACUUUGCCGGGCGGAUAAAGAUCCUGUACCCUUAAGGGUCCUACUAGAGUGGGCAUAAAGAGCAGCCAUCUCCCUAGAAAGCGUCAUAGCUCAAGUCCCUUCCCCCUCCCACAUAUUACGAUAUUACACUCUUAAUCCCCCCCCCCCCCCCACUAGAAUGUUCUAUAGAAUUAAUAGAAGCAAUAAUGCUAGAAUGAGUAAUAAGAGGGGCCUGCCCCUCUCUCACGCCCCCGUGUCACUCGGAGCAGACAAACUGCCGAAAAUUAACGAUCUCAGAAAUAGAGCGUAAGGGGCAUUAAUAUAAACUGCCAGAAAAGCACCCCAUAUCUAAUCGUGGACCCAACACGGGAGGGCUUAUAGAGAAAGACUAAAAGGGGAAGAAGGAACUCGGCAAACAAAAGCCCCGCCUGUUUACCAAAAACAUCGCCUCUUGGCCCCCCCCCAUAAGAGGUCAAACCUGCCCAGUGACCACGUGUUCAACGGCCGCGGUAUCUUGACCGUGCAAAGGUAGCGUAAUCAUUUGUCUUUUAAAUGAAGACCUGUAUGAAUGGUUUAACGAGGGCUUAACUGUCUCCUUCCCCCAGUCAAUGAAAUUGACCUCCCCGUGCAGAGGCGGGGAUCCCUACAUAAGACGAGAAGACCCUGUGGAGCUUUUAAAUACAAGUCAAAGCCAAGUCUAUAAGCAAUAAUAAAACGUAAAACACAUUGGCCUAGGACAAUAUUUUAGGUUGGGGCGACCCUGGGGAAUACAAAACCCCCAUGUGGAAUAAGCCCACGUUAAAAUACACACCGGGCUUUAAGACAAAGAAAGACACUUCUAAUCAGCAGAAUUUCUGACCUAGUGGAUCCGGCACGACCGAUCAACGAACCAAGUUACCCCAGGGAUAACAGCGCAAUCCCCUUCUAGAGCCCCUAUCGACAAGGGGGUUUACGACCUCGAUGUUGGAUCAGGACAUCCUAGUGAUGAAGCCAUUAUUAAGGGUUCGUUUGUUCAACGAUUAAAGUCCUACGUGAUCUGAGUUCAGACCGGAGCAAUCCAGGUCAGUUUCUAUCUAUGAUAAGUUCCCCCCUAGUACGAAAGGACCCGGGGGAAGAGGCCUAUGUUUUUUACACGCCUUGCCACCACCUACGAGACAUUUUAUAAAAUAGUUUAUACGGCCUGCCCCUCAGUUUUAGAUAAUAACAA
rnacentral:rRNA from 1 species